GCGGGGUGGGCUGCCGGAGGGGCGCGGCUCGGCGAGCGGCCAGUUGUGCGGGAGGUGGCUGCGUCCUUUCGAAAGCGAGGGCGCAGCUGGGCCGAUCUUUGUUCUUUUGAGACAAAGCCCCUGAACUUGGGUCCUCGCUUUGUGCAGGUGCAAGUGCUCGUGCAUGCAAAGCCCGUGGUGGGGAAAGGGUUUAAUACAGGAGGUCGCCGUUUCACAGGACUGGUUCGAAUCUCACGACACCCAAGAUUUCUGCUGUUAAAAUGGUGGAUUAAGUGUUCAUGCCAGUAAGCAAUCCUUGUUUUGCACAAUGCAGUGUACACAGAACCCUGAUUUGCAACUUUGGUAUCUCUCUCUGUUUACUGGGAGCAUCUACCUCAUGGAACUGCCGGUAUUGAUCAGUAUCCUAUGUAACAGCCCCUUGCACCAAAGCCCCUUCCUGAGACAAAGCAUACUGUAUCAGUGAGGAUGCCUUUUGCUGCAAGUACCAGAAGCUCCAGCCCAAAUUGGAAUAAACAAUAAAGGGAUGUUUUUUUCUCAGAAAACAAAAGAUCCAAAGGCUUCCCUGUUGCUGUGUGGUCCCAAAGUGAAGCUGAGGAGCCACCAGAAAACAUCAGAAGCUUUCAUCCAGAAGCCUGAGGAGAGCCCUGCCCUUCCUCAAGAGAGAGAAGUCCUUUAACAUAACAGCUAUUUUUCUUAGUCUUGGAGGAAUUCACACCACUCCUUUCCCCAGCUUUUUCCCCCAGUGGCAGGAGCAAAGAGGUGGUCUCAGAAUUUCUAGAAAGGCCUCAGUCCUCCCUACCCAACAACAGGCACAGCCUUGCUAGCAUUAUCUACCCUGAAACCAUCAGGAUUAAUCACAUUAUCCCUUUAUCCCUGUUUACAUCAUCACUGCAAGAAGCCGGUAGACUCCCAGGUCACCCUGCACCUCCUUUACUCCAAUCCCCAUAUAGCUCUUAAUCUCAUUCUCCUCCCUUCUUCUACCCUCCCCUACUCUCAGAAUGCAUCCCCUGUGCUCACUGUAAUGCCCAGUCUGUGAGCAGCAAAUUUCCUACAUACUCUAAACCUCUCCUGCAAAGGUCCCCUUUACUAUCCUGCUCCAGCUGAAAUCUAAAGCUCCCCAGAUGACUCCUUCCCCUGUAGCCCUCUGUAGUGGUGGCCUUUAUCUCUACCAUCUCUACUGCAUCCUACCUGACCACAGAGUGAGGGUGCUCCUUGCUCCUCAUUGCCAUUUUCAAACUCCUCCUCCCCCAAAUCCCCUGCUUUGAAUUGCAUGUCAUCAGAUAUACCCCCUACUGUCCCUUAUUGUCACUUGCUCUUAUUUCUCAGAGAGUUUAGCAGCUGAUUCAUGGUCACUUUCUCCAUUGGUCCUAACAUAAUUCUAGGUAAUUUCAAUAUCCAUUUGGUCAGCUUUCAGAAAUCCUGGCCUUAGUUCCUUGACCUCUUCUUCCUGUAAUUUUGCCUUUCACCCUUUAUCAGUCACUCACUAUGAAAUCUGUAGACCUUGGCAUUAUCUGUAACAGUAACUCCUUCAUAUUCUCAGUGUCAGGCAUCCCUCUAGUACCACCACUAUGCAUGCCAGAGCCCCGACUCCAGCAGCCCUCUUGUUCUGCCAAGACCUAUAGUCCCUUGACUCUAUCACCUUUCAGUUAUGGGUUAUGCCUCCUCCUCCUCAGAUCCUUUCAUAGCCUCGUUACCUAGCAUUAAAUCCCUUGGUCAGUUACUAGAAUCACUCCCUUGCAGGGAGUUCUAAUUAUUUGCUAAAAUCUAUCCUCCUUUCUUCCAAAAUCAGAGCAUUGUAGCUCAGCAGAGAGCUGACCAUACACACCACAUUUCUCAGGCUUCCUUGCAUUUGACUGUAGCCAUAGGACUAAAAUUUUUAUAAUAGAAUAUGACCCUAAGUAAUGUGUGGUGCCUGCAGGCUAGGCCCUUAAAACUAGGACAAUGCUUGCUCCUUACACUCUCUUUCCCCCUCCUGAUAACUGGUAAAAGAUGUGCCUGCUACCCAAUUUCUAGGAUUUAGAUGAGAAUAAAAGCCCUAGGUCAUGAAAGAGAAAUAAGGUAGAAGGCCCCUCAGUCCCUAAAUGAUCAUUUGAAGCUGAGACUCAAUGGCCUGGAAUGGUCAUUUCUGCUUAAAAUUGAAAUUUGUCAGAGAGAGAGAGCAAACAAGCAGGGGGAGUGGCAGGCGGAGGGAGAAGCAGGCUCCCCAUGGAGCAGAGAGCCCGAUGUGGGACUCGAUCCCAGGACCCUGGGAUCAUGACCUGAGCCAAAGGCAGAUGCUUAACCAUCUGAGCCACCCAGGCACCCCCCACCUUGAAAUUCAAGCUUCCUUCUCUUCCUGCUAUCACUUCAUCUUUCUGUUCCUGUUUAAAGCAAAAAAGCCCGAAAGAGAUACCUGUAUUUCUUGAAUUUAACUUUCAUCUUAUUUUCUUUUUUAAAAAAAUUAUUUUGAAAAAUUUCAAACAUAUGCAAGGGUAGAGAGACAGCAGAAUGACCUCCAUAUAUCAUCACCCAGUGUCAGCAAUUAUAAACAUUUUGUCAAUUUUAUUUAACCCAUCCUCCUUCCAUAAAUCAUCUGGACUGUUUUUUCUUCUUUUUUUAAAUUUGAGUAUUAUUGACAUAUAAUGUUACAUUAGUUUCAGGUGUACAACAUAGUGAUUCACUGAUUCACCUUCUCUUUUGGGCUAUUUUAAAGAAAGUUCCAGACAUCAUUUCACUGUAAAUACUCCAGCAUACAUUUCUAACAGAUAAGGACUGUAAAAAAUGACAGUCACAACACCAACUUAAUAUCCAACAAAUCUAAAUACAUGGUCAGAGUUUAAAUUUCCUAUAUUGUCUCAGAAACAUCUUUUUAUAAUAGAUUUGCUCAAAUCAGGCUCUAAACACACUGUGUUUGGCUGGUAUGUCCUUUAAGUCUUUCUUCAUCUGUAACAGUUUCCCCUCCACCCUUUUCUCAUGCCAUGUGAAUGUAUUUGUGUGUGUGUGUGUAUAUAUAUAUAUUUUUUUUUUUUAAGGUCAUUUUUUAAAAGAUUUUAUUUAUUUAUUCAUGAGAGAGAGAGAGGCAGAAGGAGAAGCAGGCUCCUGGUGGAGCAGGGAGCCUGACAUGGGACUCUAUCCCAGAACCCUGGGAUCAUGACCUGAGCUGAAGGCAGACACUUAACCGACUGAGCCACCCAGGCGCCCUUAAGGUCAUUUUUCCUGUAUAAGUUUCCACAUUCUGGAGUUGGCUAUUUGCAUCCUCAUGAUGUCAUCUAGCAUGUUCUUCUCUCCUGUAUUUCCUGGAAACUAGUAGUCAUAUCUUGAGGCUUGAUUCUCUGCUUUCUUCAAUCCAUUCCAGUCACACAUGCACCCUCCUACUACUGUGUGUGUGUUGUCAAGUUCAUUGAUGACCCAUAUUGCUAAAUCUAAUGGCCCAUUCUCAACCCUCUUCUUCCUUGAUCCAUUGGCAGUAUUUGAAUGGAUCACUUCAUCCUCCUUGGUGCAUUUCCUUUAUUUGGCUUAUUGGACACCACACUGUCAUGGUAUUACUUUGACUUACUUGUUGCUCCUUUUCAGUUUCUUUUGCUGGUUCCUGUUUACCAUUGCUACCUCUAAACGUUAGAGUGCUAUAGGAUUAUUUUUUGGUUCUCUUCUCUAUCUGCACAAAAUCCAUUGGUGAUCUCAUCCAGUUCUCAGGCUUUAAGUACCAUUUUAUACAUGCUGACUUUCUAAUUUAUAGCUUUAGCCUGGAUCUCUUCCAAGAAAUCCAAAUUCAUGUAGCCGACUGUAGAUUUGACAUAAUCAUUUGAGUGUCUAAUAAGCACCUCAAUUUGAUUAUGUCCAUAAUUUGACACCUGACCUUCCUCCAAAUCUGCUCCUCUCUUAGACUUCUCCAUCCCACUUGAUAGGAGCUCCAUCUUUCCAGUUGUUCAGGUCAAAAAUCUUAGAAUCAUUUUGGACACUUUCUUUCUCUCCACCCCAAAUAGAAUCUGUCAGCAAAUCCCACCGUCUGGUCAUUUAUCCCCACCUGCACUGUUGUCAUCUUGAUUCAGUCCAUUGUUUUUGUUUUUGUUUUUUCUUUAAAGAUUUGAUUUUAGGGCGCCUGGGUGGCUCAGUCGGUUAGGCGACUGCCUUCGGCUCAGGUCAUGAUCCUGGAGUCCCUGGAUCGA